rnacentral:lncRNA from 1 species
UUUUUUUUUUCGGGAUUCUACUUAGUAGAAAUCGGUGCCAUGUUAAUGUUGAAGUUUAAAGUUACAUCUGCGCAUUCGGCUUGUUGCGCGGUAUCUUUUGAGAUUGUUAGAGACUUCUGACCCUAACUUGGUCACUCCAUGCUUUUAUUUUCUCCCAAAAUCGCGUGUCUGUUGGAGAAGUUGAUCCUUGCGUGCUUCUGAAUAGUCAUUUGCGUUGCAAUUCCAAAAGGUGUAACUCAGUUGUGAAGGAUAAGAUAAAAAUUUCUCUCUAAGAUCUACCUUCUUGGUCCACUGAUCUAUCAGAAAUAGGUAGUUUACUUAGGCAAAUUCAUUGCAGCUUGGGCUGUUUAAACCAACAAGUACCUCUUAUUUUGUUCACGUGCCAACGAGAGAUAUGGUGGGACGUCUUCACAAGCAUGGAGCCAGAAGCUUAUCUCUCUGUUUGCUUUGCGAGAGAACCACUGAAAAUUGCUGGUUUCUUGUGUUUAGCUGAAUUUGACACACAGAGACUGACCAAUUUGUGAAGAUGACUAAUUUCACGUUUCUCCCUGUCUUUUGAUGCAUCUCUGUUCAUAAUCAAGUUUGGCGAAGUUGGAUUGCUACAUGAGGGUAUUCUUUUUGGUGUAUUGCUGGACACGCAACCUCUACCCAUUGUGCAUCCUU